rnacentral:lncRNA from 10 species
UGACAGGCCUCACCCAGCUUCCAAGCAGCCAGAAAGACCAGUCUCACUCCCACUGUGCCCCCCACAGCACUGAGUUUGUUUCCAGGCAGCUGGUGAGCAGGGCUGAGAACUUGCCCCAGGCUACAAGCCUCCCUGCUGAGAAAGCAAGCAGGGCUUCAUGUCUCCCCACCUGCUGUGGCUUCUGUGCUUGUAGCUGCAGUCCCUGUUCAUCCCCUCCCCUGGAUUCUGUCCAGGAAACUUUGCAUUUGGUUGAUAUUGUUACAAAGUUCAGCUGGAAGUUUUCUUCUCCCUGUGGUCUUUCUUCAAUUCCACUGGCAGCUCUCCUCAAGGACUCCUGUAAGACAAAGUCAUAAAUGGCAUACCUGGGGACCAAGAGUGCCCACAGUCUCUUCCCGCUGCUUCCUCUACCCCAUAUUUUGCUUGGCUCUCUAAAUUCAUCUCAGCUUCAGGUCACAGUGUUUGGACACCGCAUGAACAUGCCAAUUUCCUGUGUUGUAAUAUUUUUAUGCACUUUAAGAAGACCACCAGAAACAGCAGAGUGAGUGAAUGACUGAGGCGCAUAUUGGACAAAAAUCACUUAUCCAAGACCACGUUACUACAACCCCAGGGCACAGAAGCUAAGUCUUCCUAUUGUACUGAACUCAGUUGACUGGAAUUUGUUCAGGAAAGCAUGAAGUCAAAUGGAAGCUAGUCCGUGACUGGAUUCAUCUUUUGGUAAAAAACGAAGAGGAGACCCCAUAUCCUGGAGGUUCUUGCUUAACCCUGUCCCUAAUAAGACCUAACUUUAUGAGUCUUCUCCUUAGAGGCAGUCCUAGGGUAAGAGUGAUUAUUCCUGUGAGCCUUGUAGGUACUUUCGAAUCAAGGAAAUUAGUAGUUGAUUGCUAAUUAAUUCAGUAUUUAAUGAAUUUAAGUACCUAGGCAAUGAGGCCACAAUAGCAAAUAAGACACAGACCUGUUUUCAAAAAGUAGCCUGUAAAUAAGAUAUUUUUUUCUGCCAUGGUGGCAAAGGCAUGACUAUGGUGAUGAACAUUCAUAGGCUCACCUUCUAGCUCUGUUGUAUGUUAACUGUGUGAACUUGGGUCAAGUUAUGAAAACUCUAAGAACUCUCAAAACUCCUGAUCUGUUUUAACAUGAAAGUAAAGAUAUCUAAUUGAAUUGUUGUGAAACUUAAAUGUAAUGUGACAUCCAAAGAAUGUAGCCCAAAGUUGGAUUUCAGUAAGUGAUAAAUAGAAGUAUUUAAACAUGGGUAUGGUAUGUUCUGUAACAGAAGAAUGUCUAUGUGCUGGGGAUACCUAGAGACAGUGAAAAUUCUGUCUGGCCUGCGAAUUAUAAUAAAAUGACUCUUUAAAGUCAAUGAGUCUUAAUAUUUUCUCACAUCUACUUUUCUUUUUCUUUCUUUUUUUUCUUUUCUUUUUUUUUUUUUUUUUUUUUUUGAGAUGGAGUCUCACUCUGUCACCCAGGCUGGAGUGCAGUGGCACAAUCUGGGCUCACUGCAACCUCUGCCUCCCAGGUUCAAGCAAUUCUCCCACCUCAGACUCCCGAGUAGCUGGGAUUACAGGUACACACCACCAUGCCUGGCUAAUUUUUGUAUUUUUAGUAGAGACGGGGUUUUACUAUGUUGGCCAGGCUGGUCAUGAACUCCUGACCUCAGUUGAUCCACCCACCUUGGCCUCUGAAAGUGCUGGGAUUACAGGCCUGAGCCACCGCGCCCAGCCUCACGUCUACUUUUUAAGAUCAAACGCCAAAUCUUUGCCACAUCGAAUUUCUGGUUGAGUUACAUUUGGUAGUGGGUAUGAGAGGUAGUAUGGGAGGGAAGUCUUGAGUCUAGAGACUUCCAGAACAUUCAUAGUCCUCUAUAUUUCUGUCCCACUCUUGCUCUGAAGUAGGAGGAAACAUCUUUCCUUGACAUUGGCCUCUGGUUCACACACUGAUUCAAUUUUUGUCCAUGCUUUUUGGCAUAUCUCAUUUAAUUUUCACAAUUCUGAAAUGUAGAAAUUAUACUAUUUUUUACAGGUAUAAAAGGGU